UUCUGCCUGCAGAGUCCUUCCCCUCAGCUGGAUGGAAAUCCUGGGGUUGUGUUCCCAGGGGUUGGAACAGUGGGAUAUAAUUUCCUCUGGCAGCAAUUCCAUGGUGUGGUCGCUACUCCAAGUGCCAAAUGAAAAAAGCCUAUAAAAUGUCAGCACAGGCAGGAUUUGCCUUAGUGUGCAAUGCCAGGAUCAGUCAACAGACACGUCCAUCCUUCCUUUGUUAUGGAAGAGAUCCGUGGCUGAAUGGAGAACUGACCAGUGCAGAGUGGCAGGAUUAUUUAUUCUCUUGCAGGAUAAUUUGAUUAAUUUUCCCAAUGUUAUUUGAUAGCUAUUAUCAGGUAGAUAGUGUAUUUAAAAAGAAAAAGAGAUAGAAAAGAGAUGCUCUCUUUCAACUGUGGGUUCAUAUUUUCUUGGCUUUUUCCCCUCUCAUUUCUCCCUUUAUUUCAGGCACUCACAAUAUCUCUUUUCCCACCAUUAAAUAUAGUGCUUGGGGUUUAAAUUGCAGUCUGUAAUCCCGUGAAGUCAAAGGAUAGUUGCACAUUACAUUUGGAAGAGUGAAAGCAAUUGCAAUAGGAAAAGAAACCUUAGUGAGAAUGACCCACCAGGAAAAAGCAAACAGAAGAAAUAAUGACAGCAGUAAAAUGUGUGGGACAUCCUUUAGAUGGAAACUGUGUGACCUCAGUCUCACGUUUUCAGCUUUGUACAAGUGAACACUACAAAGACCAAAAGAAAUCUUGAUUCCAAAGUACAACCCUGUGCUCCCGAGUAUCUGAGAAGUUUGGAAGGCUCUGAAACACUGAAGUUAAAGGGAGUGUUAAUGAAAGAUCUCUUUGUGUUUUCCUGUUAAA